rnacentral:tRNA from 2 species
GCCGGCGUGGCGCAAUGGUAGCGCGUAGCUUUCCUAUAUACGUUUAAGAAGGCUGAAGUUGCGGGUUCGAUCCCCGUCGUCGGUU